UACGAAGGGGGCUAGCGUUGCUCGGAAUUACUGGGCGUAAAGCGCACGUAGGCGGAUCGUUAAGUCGGGGGUGAAAUCCUGGAGCUCAACUCCAGAACUGCCUUCGAUACUGGCGAUCUCGAGUUCGGGAGAGGUGAGUGGAACUGCGAGUGUAGAGGUGAAAUUCGUAGAUAUUCGCAAGAACACCAGUGGCGAAGGCGGCUCACUGGCCCGAUACUGACGCUGAGGUGCGAAAGCGUGGGGAGCGAACAGG
rnacentral:rRNA from 1 species